rnacentral:lncRNA from 1 species
AAGUUUCACAAUUGGGUAGGUGAGGAACCCAAACCCGAAUUGAAUAUCCAGCACGUCCAAAAAGAAGAAGAAGAGGGAAACACGUCCAAAAAAGAAGAAGAAGAGGCAUGUUCGAAGUUUGAACAGAAAGAACUCAUCUCUCUAAAACCCAGAGGUCUGAGAUACCCAAUGAAGGCAACGGCUAACGACAGUUGAAGGCAACGAUUCG